CCUACGGGGGGCAGCAGUGGGGAAUAUUGGACAAUGGGGGGAACCCUGAUCCAGCCAUGCCGCGUGUGUGAAGAAGGCCCUCGGGUUGUAAAGCACUUUCAGUGAGGAAGAACGCCUGGUGGUUAAUACCCAUCAGGAAAGACAUCACUCACAGAAGAAGCACCGGCUAACUCCGUGCCAGCAGCCGCGGUAAUACGGAGGGUGCGAGCGUUAAUCGGAAUUACUGGGCGUAAAGCGCGCGUAGGUGGCUUGAUAAGCCGGUUGUGAAAGCCCCGGGCUCAACCUGGGAACGGCAUCCGGAACUGUCAAGCUAGAGUGCAGGAGAGGAAGGUAGAAUUCCAGGUGUAGCGGUGAAAUGCGUAGAGAUCGGGAGGAAUACCAGUGGCGAAGGCGGCCUUCUGGACUGACACUGACACUGAGGUGCGAAAGCGUGGGUAGCAAACAGGAUUAGAUACCCCAGUAGUC
rnacentral:rRNA from 1 species